UCGCGCUCUUUUCGUCGUCUUUACACGAGGUGGUUUUGCGUGAUAGGUAACGACGGACAUUCCUUGUAUGAAAAUAAAAUAAAGGUGACUCGCCAAUGACACGAUAAUACGAUGAGCUUGACCGACACGGACACCACAUAGUGUCUGCGCUUCAGCGAUAUGGUAGGAGCGCAACAACAUGAGCCCGAUGAGCAGCUCUUGGACAGCGACAUUGAUCAAGGUCCAUGAGGGUGCAUGAAAUUGAUGUGGUAGUCACCAAACUCCUCCGAAAUUUCGUCCACCAUGCCAAUCCACGGAAAGCCGUCAUAAAGACAGCAGACCAAGUUUUGUUCCUUUAUUUCUGAUUGCACAGAUGGUUCUGGUUCUAGUUCUGCAUCAUUACUGUCUCAGAACUUCUUUGCAACAUCACAUGGCAAGAGUGCCUGUGACGAUAUAGGAGGGACUGUCAAGCAACUAGUCACCAAGGCUAGCCUGCAGCGCCCAUAUAAUGACCAGAUUCUGACAGCGGACGGAAUUAUGGCUUUCUGAGUGGAGAAUAUCCCUGCUAUCACGUUUUUCAAUGUGACACCAGAGGAUGUAAUUCAAUCAGCUUCAGAGUUAAAGGACAGGUUUGACAUGGUGAAAACUAUUAAAGGGACACUGCAAUACCGCAGAUUCGUUCCAGUCUCCAACUCUACGCUACAUGUGUACAAGUUGAGUAACCAAGCUUGCCCUGCGGAUUUAGUACAUGUUUCAGACAGUAUGUGUACAAUGUGUAUAAUGUUAAUACAGUGUGAGGUAAGUGGUUACAGGGUUCGUAGCGGGUCUUCCAAAGUCUUAUAAGUACUUAUUUUGCCAAAAAUAAA